rnacentral:rRNA from 1 species
AUACGGAGGAUCCGAGCGUUAUCCGGAUUUAUUGGGUUUAAAGGGAGCGUAGGUGGACAGUUAAGUCAGUUGUGAAAGUUUGCGGCUCAACCGUAAAAUUGCAGUUGAUACUGGUUGUCUUGAGUACAGUAGAGGUGGGCGGAAUUCGUGGUGUAGCGGUGAAAUGCUUAGAUAUCACGAAGAACUCCGAUUGCGAAGGCAGCUCACUGGACUGCAACUGACACUGAUGCUCGAAAGUGUGGGUAUCAAACAGGAUUAGAUACCCUGGUAGUCCACACAGUAAACGAUGAAUACUCGCUGUUUGCGAUAUACAGUAAGCGGCCAAGCGAAAGCAUUAAGUAUUCCACCUGGGGAGUACGCCGGCAACGGUGAAACUCAAAGGAAUGGACGGGG